CCAUUUCGUAGAGUGACGUUUUCUGUUGUGAGUCAGCCUCAGGACCCACAUCAGGGGUCACUGCAGAGUUGCUAUGACAGCGGGCUGGAGGAGUCAGAAACACCAAGCAGUAAGAGUUCAUCAGGGCCAAGACUGGGUGCGCUUCCACUCCCAGAGGACAACUAUGAAAGGACCACGCCGGAUGGCAGUGUUGGUGAGGCAGAGCAUAUGGAAAAUGGUGUUGCUGCCAUCACUACCUUUCCCUUCCUCCCCUUUCCUCAUGGCAAGACGCAUGGAAGAAGAGUGCUGUUAAGGCCUCUCCAUUAAUCAACAGGUGGCUGAGGCAGGAGGAACGCUUGAAUCCAGAAGUUCUAGUCCAGCCUGGGGAACAUAGUGAGAACUUAUCUCCAAAAAAAAUCAGUUUUCUUUUUUCUAGGGGCCUAUAUAGAAUUAAAAUAAAUGUGAAUACAUUUAUUUCUGAUAUAUUUUUGGAAAUAUUUUGAGACAUAAUAGUACCAUAAGAAUAUUUUUAUUUUUAAAUAUUAGUUGGAAUAUGAAACAACG
rnacentral:lncRNA from 10 species